rnacentral:rRNA from 1 species
AUUGAACGCUGGCGGCAUGCCUUACACAUGCAAGUCGAACGGUAACAGGUUAAGCUGACGAGUGGCGAACGGGUGAGUAAUGUAUCGGAACGUGCCCAGUCGUGGGGGAUAACUGCUCGAAAGAGCAGCUAAUACCGCAUACGACCUGAGGGUGAAAGCGGGGGAUCGCAAGACCUCGCGCGAUUGGAGCGGCCGAUAUCAGAUUAGGUAGUUGGUGGGGUAGAGGCCUACCAAGCCGACGAUCUGUAGCUGGUCUGAGAGGACGACCAGCCACACUGGGACUGAGACACGGCCCAGACUCCUACGGGAGGCAGCAGUGGGGAAUUUUGGACAAUGGACGCAAGUCUGGUCCAGCCAUGCCGCGUGCGGGAAGAAGGCCUUCGGGUUGUAAACCGCUUUUGUCGGGGAAGAAACGCUCUGGGUUAAUACCUCGGGGUAAUGACGGUACCUGAAGAAUAAGCACCGGCUAACUCCGUGCCAGCCGCCGCGGUAA